rnacentral:rRNA from 1 species
CCUACGGGUGGCAGCAGUGAGGAAUAUUGGUCAAUGGGCGCGAGCCUGAACCAGCCAAGUAGCGUGAAGGAUGACUGCCCUACGGGUUGUAAACUUCUUUUAUAAAGGAAUAAAGUGAGGCACGUGUGCCUUUUUGUAUGUACUUUAUGAAUAAGGAUCGACUAACUCCGUGCCAGCAGCCGCGGUAAUACGGAGGAUCCGAGCGUUAUCCGGAUUUAUUGGGUUUAAAGGGAGCGUAGAUGGGUUGUUAAGUCAGUUGUGAAAGUUUGCGGCUCAACCCUAGAAUUGCCGUUGAAACUGGGAGUCUUGAGUAUGUGUGAGGCAGGCGGAAGGCGUGGUGUAGCGGUGAAAUGCUUAGAGAUCGCGCAGAACCCCGAUUGCGAAGGCAGCAUGCC